CAGAAAAUUGCAUCUCAACAAAUCUGUCAUUGGUACCCGAACUACAUUUCAGUCACUCAGUAAAUUGAUAACUCAAAAUAUCAUUGUCAACAGAUCUGGAGAAAUUGCCACUGCGUCUUUAGACCGUUUUCGUCAGACGAGAGAUACAGUUCUGACUCUUGAUUACUGGUUGCUGUACGUAUCUAUCCACAUCAAGGCUAUUGAAAGAGACUCGUGAAGAUUCAAGACAGCUCUUAGAGGAUUUGCAGUU